rnacentral:tRNA from 1 species
GGUCAGGAUAGCUCAGUUGGUAGAGCAGAGGACUGAAAAUCCUCGUGUC